rnacentral:tRNA from 6 species
GGUGAGGUGGCCGAGAGGCUGAAGGCGCUCCCCUGCUAAGGGAGUAUGCGGUCAAAAGCUGCAUCCGGGGUUCGAACCCCCGCCUCACCGCCA